AUGCUCAACAUCACUAAUAGUCAGGAAAAUGCAAAUGAAAACCACAAUGAGAUAUCACCUCACACCUGUUAGAAUGGCUAUUAUUAAAAAGAGACAAGAUAUAACAAGUGUUGCUGAGAACAUAAAGAAAACUGGAACCUUCUUACACUGUUGGUGGGAAUGCAAACUGGUACAACCACUCUGGA